rnacentral:rRNA from 1 species
CCAUAACGCCACUGUGAACCUUCCCCAAUCACAUCUGAUCUUGGAAACUAAGGGGAGCUGGGCUUGGUUAGCAUUUGGAGGCUCACCAACUGAGGCUUAGAUAUAUAGU